rnacentral:rRNA from 1 species
UUGUCGAAACCUGCACCAUAGCAGAGCAACCCGCGAACACGUUUCACCACUGGGGGUAAAUUUGGCCUUUUGGCCGUUUCCCCCCACCGCCCCGUGCGGUGCGAACAAACAAACCACGGCGCAACGCGCGCCAAGGAACAUGAACGAACGAGAGAGCUUGCCUCUUUUCGAUACAUACGCAAAAACGACUCUCGGCAACGGAUAUCUCGGCUCUCGCAUCGAUGAAGAACGUAGCGAAAUGCGAUACUUGGUGUGAAUUGCAGAAUCCCGUGAACCAUCGAGUCUUUGAACGCAAGUUGCGCCCCAAGCCGUCAGGCCGAGGGCACGCCUGCCUGGGUGUCACGCAUCGUUGCCCCCCCACCGUCUACAAACGUGUGCGGGGAGCGGAGAUUGGCCUCCCGUGAGGGUGUUCCCUCGCGGUUGGCCCAAACACAGGUCCCCGGCCGAGGAAGCCGCGACUUUCGGUGGUUGUUAACAAACAGACAUGCCUUGUCGUGCUCUCCUCGUGCCUUUUGCGGCACCCUCGACCCUAAGAAGGGCCAGUGCACUCUUUUGAGUAAGUUGCGCUCGCUUUGCGACCCCA